rnacentral:rRNA from 1 species
CCUAUCAGCUUUAGACGGUAGGGUAUUGGCCUACCGUGGCUAUGACGGGUAACGGGGAAUUAGGGUUCGAUUCCGGAGAGGGAGCCUGAGAAACGGCUACCACAUCUAAGGAAGGCAGCAGGCGCGCAAAUUACCCAAUCCUAAUACAGGGAGGUAGUGACAAGAAAUAACAAUACAGAACCUUACGGUUUUGUAAUUGGAAUGAGUUAAGUAUAAACCCCUUAACAAGUAUCAAUUGGAGGGCAAGUCUGGUGCCAGCAGCCGCGGUAAUUCCAGCUCCAAUAGCGUAUAUUAAAGUUGUUGCAGUUAAAAAGCUCGUAGUUAAUCUUCUGUUAAUUUUUAUAUAUAAUAUCACGAUAUUUAUAUAAUAUUAACAUAAUUCAUAUUACUUUUUAGUAUAUGAAACUUUACUUUGAGAAAAUUAGAGUGCUUAAAGCAGGCUAUUGCCUUGAAUACUCCAGCAUGGAAUAAUAUUAAGG